rnacentral:rRNA from 1 species
AGCGUAGACGGCAAGGCAAGUCUGAUGUGAAAACCCAGAGCUUAACCCUGGGACUGCAUUGGAAACUGUCUGGCUCGAGUGCCGGAGAGGUAAGCGGAAUUCCUAGUGUAGCGGUGAAAUGCGUAGAUAUUAGGAAGAACACCAGUGGCGAAGGCGGCUUACUGGACGGUAACUGACGUUGAGGCUCGAAAGCGUGGGGAGCAAACA